rnacentral:rRNA from 1 species
UACGAAGGGCGCGGGUGUUAUUCGUUUUGAUUGGGUGUAAAGGGUGCGUAGGCGGGUCUACUAACGAAAGUCAUACGGCUAAAAGCGCGGAGAGUUCCUACGCGAUAGCCUAACGAGGCUAGUGACCUUGCGUUGUCGAUAGGUUGGGGGAAAUUCUCAAGUGAGGGGUAAAAUCCAUUUAUAUGAGAAAGACCAACUCGCUGGCGAAGGCGCCUUUCCAGCGGCACGGACGCUCAGAUACGGAAGCUUAGGGAGCAAACGGGAGUUAG